GAUGAACGCUGGCGGCGUGCCUAACACAUGCAAGUCGAGCGGACGGACGAUAAGCUUGUGUCUUUGAUGUUAGCGGCGGGCGGGCGAGUAACACGUGGAUCACCUACUUAUAUUUCGGGGAUAAUUACGGGAAACAGGGUCUAAUACUGGAGAAUAUUUUGAACCGCUUGGUGCAAAAGUGAUUGACAGCUUUCGCGUUUGUAAUAGCUGGUUCCGCGCUGCAUUAGCUAGUUGGUAAGGUAACGGCUUACCAAGGCAACGAUGCGUAGCCGAUCUGAGAGGAUGAUCGGCCACACUGGAACUGGGACACGGUCCAGACUCCUACGGGAGGCAGCAGUGGGGAAUCUUCGGCAAUGGGCGCAAGCCUGACGCAGCAACGCCGCGUGAGUGAUGAAGGUCUUCGGGUCGUAAAGCUCUGUUAUUGGGGAAGAACAGCUGUAGAAGUAAACGUGGACGUCUUGACGGUACCUAAUCAAAAAGCACCGGCUAACUACGUG
rnacentral:rRNA from 1 species